GACGAACGCUGGCGGCGUGCUUAACACAUGCAAGUCGAACGAAGUGGCGAACGUGUUAGUAACGCGUAAUCAACCUGCCCUUCAGAGGGGUACAACAGUUGGAAACGACUGCUAAUACCUCAUACUGAAGUAGGUGAUUGCGUCUGAUUAGCUAGUUGGAGGGGUAACGGCCCACCAAGGCGAUGAUCAGGAGCCGGUCUGAGAGGAUGAACGGGCAAAGUGGGACUGAGACACGGCCCAGACGCCUACGGGAGGCAGCAGUGGGGAAUCUUACGAAAUGGAGGAAAGUCUGACGGAGCAACGCCGCGUGAGUGAUGAAGGCCUUUGGGUUGGAAAGCUCUGUUAAUCGGGACGCGGUACCGGAAUAGAAAGCCACGGCUAACUACGUGCCAGCAGCCGCGGUAAUAC
rnacentral:rRNA from 1 species